UGAUCUUAUCCGAGCAGGGGAGCGAGGACUCUCGAACGGCGGCUGAGCCACCCUGCCUCCGCCGCGGCCACGGCCGCGGCCGCUUUGGGCUGCUGGCGGCUCUCCGUCGUUUCGGUCCGUCCCGUCCUGCGAUGAAGACAGCCCGCGGUCGGAGCCUCUCUACGAUACGUAGGAUGUGGGCAGUGAUGGCCUGCGCGGGCUCUCCCACAUCAUCAAUCUUACACGAUUUCGUUUCUUCAUUACAUGUACAUUUAUAUACGUAUGUAUGGUACGCUAGUCAACUGCAAAUGUCGUGUUAUUUCUGCUGGUGAGUUUCGAGAGGGAUUCCGCGCGUAAAGGUCGAGACUUUAAGGCGCGCACUUCAGGUGUUUGUGAAAAUGUCGCUGGUUGGGCAUGAACGUGAACUCUUCACUCGGUCCUUUUUCUCAGAACUAACUUUUCACGAGACUCGUAAAGCUAAUUUUUCCCGGAAAUUUUCUUGCUGAAUGCGGAUGAAAUGAAUCGAGUUUGGUGCCUGAAGUGGCGGAUGUAAUUGUGUUUGGAGCUAGUGUCUUUGGAGGAGCUGCGAUGUCUAUCAUUGAACUUGUCCAGGAACACUAGCUUGCCAUUGAAACUUGUGCAGGAACGCUGGCUUGGAAACAUUAUGGUGAUGUAUUGUGGUAGGUGAACUCUUAAGGGCUAUAUGAACAUGGGUAUGAUGCGAGUGUUGUGUGGUCGCUGAUUGCGUUGGAGCUUGGCAUGUCGGUCCAAUUUGGUGGUUGAUAUUUGGUCCCCAGGCUGCUAGUGUUGAGAAGGUAUUUUUGCCACCUUAAGCCGAGGCUGGAGGAAGUUGGAUGAUGCAUCAGCAGCUGCUUGAGCUGCUGAGGGCCACGCGAAGGUAGCGCAAGAAUGGAACAUACUUAGCCAAAAGUCAUUUACAGAGUGAUGACAGGGUGAUUCUGGCAUCAUGGGAUACUCGAGUUACGCCAUGAGGAGUUUGUCUUUUGUCGUCAGGAAGUAUUCAUUGUUAUGAUCGUUAAGAUCAGAAUGGCUUUCCUUGUCCACUGAUUAAUUUGUAAUAAAACAAUCUCGUGACUGAGCAGUUGCCUAAUUUCAUGUUCUUGUA